AUGUCUACCAACUCUUUUAGUAUUUGUCUAGCAGGUUUUCUGUUCUUCAUUGUUUCCAUCUCUAGAGAAGCCUGU
rnacentral:snRNA from 1 species